AUACGGAGGAUGCAAGCGUUAUCCGGAUUUAUUGGGUUUAAAGGGUGCGUAGGCGGUUUGCUAAGCGGGAGGUGAAAUGCCGGCGCUCAACGUCGGAAGGGCCUCCCGAACUGGGGGACUUGAAUGACUCUGCCGUGGGAGGAAUGUGUAGUGUAGCGGUGAAAUGCUUAGAGAUCACACAGAACACCGAUUGCGAAGGCAUCUCACGAAGGGGUGAUUGACGCUGAGGCACGAAAGCGUGGGGAUCAAACAGGAUUAGAUACCCUGGUAGUCCACGCAGUAAACGAUGAUAACUAACCGCUGGGUCGUAGUGAUUCAGUGGCCAAGCGAAAGCGAUGAGUUAUCCACCUGGGGAGUACGACCGCAAGGUUGAAACUCAAAUGAAUUGGCGGGG
rnacentral:rRNA from 1 species